rnacentral:tRNA from 1 species
GCGGACGUGGCGAAACUGGUAGACGCAAGGGACUUAAAAUCCCUCGACCUUUGGUUAUACGGGUUCGACCCCCGUCGUCCGCACCA